UACGUAGGGUGCGAGCGUUGUCCGGAAUUAUUGGGCGUAAAGGGCUCGUAGGCGGUUUGUCGCGUCGGGAGUGAAAACUCAGGGCUUAACCCUGAGCCUGCUCCGAAGUACGGGAGGCAGACUAGAGGUAUGCAGGGGAGAACGGAAUUCCUGGUGUAGCGGUGAAAUGCGCAGAUAUCAGGAGGAACACCGGUGGCGAAGGCGGUUCUCUGGGCAUUACCUGACGCUGAGGAGCGAGAAGUGGGAGGCGAACGGG
rnacentral:rRNA from 1 species